GUAAGUUCUUUAAGAGCUAUGACGUUGUCAUGUUCAACACUGUAUUUUGAUGCCUUGCACAUAACAGGCACUCAACUGAUAGUUGCUGAAUGAAUCAAUCAAUGAUAAAUGAAUGAAUGUUACAAUGUUCUGAGGGCCCUGGAGUCAUGUCUAACUGCAUGAUGCUCUACUUAUUGGAUCCAGUGGUCUUUGCGGACUAAGCAGAUACACAAAAAAUAACAACAGCUGCUUUUUUUUUUUUUUUCUUUUGAGACAGGAUCUUGCUCUGUUGCAUAGGCUGGAGUGCAGUGGCACAAUCUUGGUUCACUGCAACCUCUGCCUCCCGAGCUCAAGCAAUCCUCCCACCUUGGCCUCCCCGGUAGCUGGGACUGUGAAUGCGCACCACCACACCUGACUAAUUUUUGUAUUUUUUGGUAGAGAUGGGGUUUCACCGCAUUGCCCAGGCUGGCCUCAAACACCUGGGCUCAAAUGAUCCGCCUGCCUUGGGCUCCCAGAGUGCUGGGAUUACGGGUGUGAGCCUCCGCACCCAGCCAAUAGCUGUUUUAUUUAGUGCUUACUAUGUACUGGGUGUACACACCAUCUCAUUUUAUCCUCAGAGUAGUUUUGCAAGGUCGGGAUUAUUAACCCCAUUUAUUUAUUUAUUUUUUUGAGACAGGGUCUCGUUUUGUCACCCAGGCUGGAUACACUGGCACGUUCAAUAGUUCACGGCAGCCUCGACCUCCCGGGCUCAAGCAACUCUCCCAUCUCAGCAUCCCGAGUAGCUGAGACCACAGGUAACAAGAGGAUUCAGAAUCUGAGAGAUACUGCUUAAAAGGAAAAUGUCCUGGAGGGAUGCCAAACUGCACUCUCAAAGGUUUCGGCUGGAUGUGUGAUAUUGAUGGGGAAACCCAUUUCAGUGUCUCUAAGAAGGGGGUAGUGCUCCUCUUUCCAGGAUGUCUCUGGGGAAUCUAGAGCACCCCAAAGUGUGGUAUGCAUAGAAACAUUGCUGCUUAAGGUCUGAAUAUUUGUUCCUCAUCAAUUCAUGUGUUGAAAUUCUAACCUCUCCUGAAUGGGAUUAGUGCUCUUACACGAGAGGCCUGACAGAGACUCCUCACCCUUCCCACCAUGCGAAGACACAGUGAGAAGGCUCAGUCUAUGAACCAAAAUGUUGACUGUCACCAUUUACUCAAUCUGCUGUCGCCUUGAGCUUGGACUUCCCAGCCUCCAGAACUGUGAGAAAUAAAUUUCUGUUGCUUAUAAGACAACCAGUUUAUGACAUUUCGUUAUAGCAGCCUGAAUGGACUAAGACACCCUUCCCACCAUGUGAAGACAGAGUGAGAAGGUUCGGUCUAUGAACCAAAAACUGACCCUCACCAGUCAUUGAAUCUGCUGGUGCCUUGAUCUUGGACUUCCCAGCCUCCAGAACUGUGAGAAAUAAAUUUCUGUCGUUUAUAAGCCACCUAGUUUAUGAUACUUUGUUAUAGCAGCCUGAAUGGACUGAGACACCCACCUUAAAAAGACAGUACCUCAAAACCAUAAGGCAGGAUAACUGCUAGCCUGAUAUUAAUAGUUUUUAAUUUACUGCUAGCUUCAUUUUGCCAACUGAGUCAGAUAUUUUUUAAAAGUUCUGUUUGCAAUUAUUUUAACUUAGGAGAGGAGAAAAAGAGCAGGCAUCAGCCUGCAUAUGGGAUAUUUCUGAAAGGAUUUUGCUAUGAUUAGCUUGCCCUCAGGGAGAGUAAAAUGUGAGUUAUACAACCAUGCUUAUAUUUAGAUGUUGUUGAUGUUCUGGCUUAUAAUAUAUGAUGAGUUAGAAAUAAUUUUGUACUGAUCAGCCCAACCAGAAAAUAAACAUGCUUUAACUUGUAUUUAUUACUAAACUUGGUCUCCUAAAACAUGAUAAAGCAGUUGAGUCUAUAAUGACUGAGCCAUAGCUUCUCUGACUGACUCUAAGAGGGAAUGACGUUAAUAAGAGAUUAGCCCAUACCUCUAAUAGCCCUGGGAGAGAUGAACCCAAGACGGCAAGGCCCAGCUCUGAUGGAUGAAGGGACAGAGAACUAUAAGAAGACUGGGUUCCAUCUAGGAUGGGUGGCCUGUUGAGUGCCCAUCUUAUCUGCUUAGAUGAUGAUACUUGGAGACCUGACUCAAUUGUUGUGAAUGGUCUUUGUAAAAUUUUAUUUUAGAGACAGGGUCUUGCUAUGUUGCCCAGGCUGGUCUCAAACACCUGGGCUCAAGUGAUCCUCCUGCCUCAGCCUCCUGAGUAGCUGGAACUGCAAGUGAUUACUCUUAUUGAACAAACAAACAAAAACAAGUGCCUGUGACCUAAUAGAGAUGCAUGCAUAUGUUCACCAAAAGAUCUAGAAUGUCCACAACAGCCCUAUUUAUCAUCACCCCAAAUGGGGCACCCUGCACCUACCUCAACAGUAGAUGCAUACAUUUCUGUGUAUUUACACUGUGGAAUAUGACACAGCAAUGACAAUGAAUGAACUACAGCUAUACACAACAACAUGGAUGGCUAUCACAAACAUAAGGUAGAGCUAAAAGCGAAAAAAACCAGCAUAAAAGUGGGCAAAAGCCAUCUAUGUUGUUAAAAAUCAGGAUAGUGGCUGCCCUGGAAGGGGGCAUGAGGAGGCUUCAAGGUGCUUGUCAUGUUCUCUUUCUUCACU
rnacentral:lncRNA from 1 species